GACGAACGCUGGCGGCGUGCCUAAUACAUGCAAGUAGAACGCUGAAGGAGGAGCUUGCUUCUCUGGAUGAGUUGCGAACGGGUGAGUAACGCGUAGGUAACCUGCCGUGUAGCGGGGGAUAACUAUUGGAAACGAUAGCUAAUACCGCAUAAUAGUAGAUGUUGCAUGACAUUUGCUUAAAAGGUGCAAUUGCAUCACUACCAGAUGGACCUGCGUUGUAUUAGCUAGUUGGUGGGGUAACGGCUCACCAAGGCGACGAUACAUAGACGACCUGAGAGGGUGAUCGGCCACACUGGGACGGAGACACGGCCCAGACUCCUGCGGGAGGCAGCAGUAGGGAAUCUUCGGGAAUGGACGGAAGUCUGACCGAGCAACGACGCGUGAGUGAAGAAGGUUUCCGGAUCGUGAAGCUCUGUUGUAAGAGAAGAACGAGUGUGAGAGUGGAAAGUUCACACUGUGACGGUAUCUUAACAGAAAGGGACGGCUAACUACGUG
rnacentral:rRNA from 1 species